UUGACGGAAGGGCACCACCAGGAGUGGAGCCUGCGGCUUAAUUUGACUCAACACGGGGAAACUCACCCGGCCCGGACACCGCGAGGAUUGACAGACCGACAGCUCUUUCAUGAUUCGGUGGAUGGUGGUGCAUGGCCGUUCUUAGUUCGUGGAGCGAUUUGUCUGGUUUAUUCCGAUAACGAGCGAGACUCCAGCCUGCUAAAUAGUCCCUCUAUCUGUAUGUGGAGGCCGACUUCUUAGAGGGAUCAUCGGCGCUCAGCCGCACGACACGGAGCAAUAACAGGUCUGUGAUGCCCUUAGAUGUCCGGGGCUGCACGCGCGCUACACUGGCGAAGGCAGCGUGCCUGUCCUCUCCCGACGGGGACGGGUAAACCAUUGAAAAUUCGCCGUGAUUGGGAUCGGAGAUUGCAAUUAUUCUCCGUGAACGAGGAAUUCCAAGUAAGUGCGAGUCAUCAACUCGCGUUGAUUACGUCCCUGCCCUUUGUAA
rnacentral:rRNA from 1 species